AGACCCGAAACCCGGUGAUCUAGCCAUGGGCAGGUUGAAGGUUGGGUAACACUAACUGGAGGACCGAACCGACUAAUGUUGAAAAAUUAGCGGAUGACCUGUGGCUGGGGGUGAAAGGCCAAUCAAACCGGGAGAUAGCUGGUUCUCCCCGAAAGCUAUUUAGGUAGCGCCUCGUGAAUUCAUCUCCGGGGGUAGAGCACUGUUUCGGCUAGGGGGCCAUCCCGGCUUACCAACCCGAUGCAAACUGCGAAUACCGGAGAAUGUUAUCACGGGAGACACACGGCGGGUGCUAACGUCCGUCGUGAAGAGGGAAACAACCCAGACCGCCAGCUAAGGUCCCAAAGUCAUGGUUAAGUGGGAAACGAUGUGGGAAGGCCCAGACAGCCAGGAUGUUGGCUUAGAAGCAGCCAUCAUUUAAAGAAAGCGUAAUAGCUCACUGGUCGAGUCGGCCUGCGCGGAAGAUGUAACGGGGCUAAACCAUGCACCGAAGCUGCGGCAGCGACACUCAGGUGUUGUUGGGUAGGGGAGCGUUCUGUAAGCCUGCGAAGGUGGCCUGUGAGGGUUGCUGGAGGUAUCAGAAGUGCGAAUGCUGACAUAAGUAACGAUAAAGCGGGUGAAAAGCCCGCUCGCCGGAAGACCAAGGGUUCCUGUCCAACGUUAAUCGGGGCAGGGUGAGUCGACCCCUAAGGCGAGGCCGAAAGGCGUAGUCGAUGGGAAACGGGUUAAUAUUCCCGUACUUGGUGUUACUGCGAAGGGGGGACGGAGAAGGCUAUGUUGGCCGGGCGACGGUUGUCCCGGUUUAAGCGUGUAGGUGUGUGUUCCAGGUAAAUCCGGUUCACUUUAACACUGAGGCGUGACGACGAGGCACUACGGUGCUGAAGCAACAAAUGCCCUGCUUCCAGGAAAAGCCUCUAAGCAUCAGGUAACAUCAAAUCGUACCCCAAACCGACACAGGUGGUCAGGUAGAGAAUACCAAGGCGCUUGAGAGAACUCGGGUGAAGGAACUAGGCAAAAUGGUGCCGUAACUUCGGGAGAAGGCACGCUGACACGUAGGUGAAGUGAUUUACUCAUGGAGCUGAAGUCAGUCGAAGAUACCAGCUGGCUGCAACUGUUUAUUAAAAACACAGCACUGUGCAAACACGAAAGUGGACGUAUACGGUGUGACGCCUGCCCGGUGCCGGAAGGUUAAUUGAUGGGGUCAGCGCAAGCGAAGCUCCUGAUCGAAGCCCCGGUAAACGGCGGCCGUAACUAUAACGGUCCUAAGGUAGCGAAAUUCCUUGUCGGGUAAGUUCCGACCUGCACGAAUGGCGUAAUGAUGGCCAGGCUGUCUCCACCCGAGACUCAGUGAAAUUGAACUCGCUGUGAAGAUGCAGUGUACCCGCGGCAAGACGGAAAGACCCCGUGAACCUUUACUAUAGCUUGACACUGAACAUUGAGCCUUGAUGUGUAGGAUAGGUGGGAGGCUUUGAAGUGUGGACGCCAGUCUGCAUGGAGCCGACCUUGAAAUACCACCCUUUAAUGUUUGAUGUUCUAACGUGGACCCGUGAUCCGGGUUGCGGACAGUGUCUGGUGGGUAGUUUGACUGGGGCGGUCUCCUCCUAAAGAGUAACGGAGGAGCACGAAGGUUGGCUAAUCCUGGUCGGACAUCAGGAGGUUAGUGCAAUGGCAUAAGCCAGCUUGACUGCGAGCGUGACGGCGCGAGCAGGUGCGAAAGCAGGUCAUAGUGAUCCGGUGGUUCUGAAUGGAAGGGCCAUCGCUCAACGGAUAAAAGGUACUCCGGGGAUAACAGGCUGAUACCGCCCAAGAGUUCAUAUCGACGGCGGUGUUUGGCACCUCGAUGUCGGCUCAUCACAUCCUGGGGCUGAAGUAGGUCCCAAGGGUAUGGCUGUUCGCCAUUUAAAGUGGUACGCGAGCUGGGUUUAGAACGUCGUGAGACAGUUCGGUCCCUAUCUGCCGUGGGCGCUGGAGAACUGAGGGGGGCUGCUCCUAGUACGAGAGGACCGGAGUGGACGCAUCACUGGUGUUCGGGUUGUCAUGCCAAUGGCACUGCCCGGUAGCUAAAUGCGGAAGAGAUAAGUGCUGAAAGCAUCUAAGCACGAAACUUGCCCCGA
rnacentral:rRNA from 2 species